UAGGUUUGGAUGGUGAAUGGCUUCGUGGUAGACCAGCAUGACUGAGCACGAAAUAAUCUUCACCUCAAGUACCCUGCCCCAAAAUCCAAAUCGGGAAGGAUGCAGGCACUUUGAGACAGUCGCAGAAAAACAGACACUAGUCUGCAUCAUAAAGAUGGCACAGAUAAAGGCGUGAACUGAAAACAUUCACGGAAGUACCGAGUUUACCGUCCUGUCCAGUAUAGAGAAAGAGGAUGCAGAGCCCCAGAGAUACACCCAAAACAGGCUGGCAAGACUGGGCUGACCUCAAGAGCCUGGUUAUCGUCCUCGGAAGCAGGUGGGUGUCUUCCAUGUGCCAGAGCCACUGUCUCCUUCCUCAAUAACAGAAACCUUAUCACAUUUGAGGUGACAAACCCAGCUAAAGAACCAGCCAAAAGUCCAGACUCCUUUGCAAUUAGAAGUAGGGGUGGCCAAUGAGGCGUAAAGGAACGUUGUUGAGUGGGGCUUCCAGAAAAGCUUUUUAAAGGGGGCUGAUACAGCCGAAAGGUGCACGCUUUGGCCUUCUCACCUUCUGCCAUCUUCCUUCCUGGAAAGCAGGUGUGAUGGCCGGAGCUCCAGAAACCACAUUGGGUCCCUGAAGCGACCUUGUGGACAGGGGCAGAGCAUUUGGAGCUGCCUCACCCACCUGUGGCUGCCUACCCCGUGUCUUCAAGUUAUGUGACAGAAAACAAACCCCUAAUUUAUCAAACGCACUGUUAUUUUGGGCUUCUCUUACUAGCAACCAAACAUAAGUUCUAAAUGACAAUAUCAGCCUAGUAUUCGCACAGAGUCAGGCUGUAGGAACACGAAGAGGGAUUGACAGAAUGAUGAACAAAACCCUGGGAGCAUGAGAUCAGGCCAAAGUGCAUGAAAGAAAAGCAUGUAAGCCCUUCCUUACAAAAGAAAACCACUAGAGACCAACGGAGAGCCCACGUGGUGAGACCCCAGCCAUCCCAAAGGAGGCCCUCAUAGAGAAGCCAGCCCCGGCUGACCCGCCAGCGAGCCCGGCCGAGAUCACCAAACCCAAACUGGAUGAGCCAGCCACCUGAGCCCACCUGCAAAUCAACCUGCAAAACCAGGCGCUAAAUGCACAGCUGCUGUUUAAAGCUAGUGAGACUGGGGGCCACUUGUGAGGCAGCAAAAGCAAACUGUCGCCUUCCAAACAGGCAGUCACCUUCCAAGAGGCCCUUGAGCCUGUUGGUUGCGAAAGACAUGCGAGUACAACAAGGUGCGGUGGGCACAAAAGUGGUGGUUUCGAUGCAGCAUCCUGCGGCAGGGACCACUGGCUGUCCUCCAGGGUGCAGUCUCUCCUCCUUUCUCAUCGCAGUGCACCCCCGAUUUUACAUUUGCCGUCAUUUCCCAGCCUCCCUGGUGAGCAGACAUGACAAUGAGAUCCGCUUCUGCCAGCAGGAUCUGCAUGAAAGUGACCCUUUGACCGCUUUUUCCACUUCCUGUUGUCUGAAAAAGCCCGGUGGGAGCCACCUUAAUCCAUGGACAAAAGCAACACUCCAGGGAUGGCGGAUUCGCGGCAGGAGGCCUGGCUCUGAGCCCUGUGCCACAUGGAGCCUUUGGUGGUCACCCCUCACCGCGCCCAGCCCCCCUCCCAGCCCCGGCAACCACUAAGGUGCUCUCCGUCCCGGAGGAGCUGCCUGUUCUGGGUUGUCCAUAUAAAUGGGCUCGUUACAGUAUUUGUCCUUUUGUGUCUGGCUUUUUUCACUCUACACAGUGGCUUCAAGGUUCUUUCCGCCCUGUUGUCAGGCACAUCAGAACGUCAUUCCUUUUUCUGGAUGUGCCACGUUUUGUUUAUCCACUCACCCACUGAGGGUUGGUUCCACUUUGGGCUGCUAAGAACAUGCAUGUACGAGUUGCGUGUGGUUUUGCUGUCAUUUCCCUUGAGCAUGUACCCAGGUGUGGAACUGCUGGGUCAGAUGGUGACUCCAGCUUUGACUUUUUGAGGAACAGCCAGGCUGUUUUCCA